AUGAACGCUGGCUACAGGCUUAACCCCUGCAAGUCGCGGGGAAACGACGGGGAAGCUUGCUUCCCCGGGCGUCGACCGGCGCACGGGUGAGUAACGCGUAUCCAACCUGCCUCUGACUGAGGGAUAACCCGUCGAAAGUCGGCCUAAUACCUCAUGGUAUCGUCUGCGGGCAUCCAACGACGAUUAAAGAUUUCAUCGGUCAGGGAUGGGGAUGCGUCUGAUUAGCUUGUUGGCGGGGUAACGGCCCACCAAGGCUACGAUCAGUAGGGGUUCUGAGAGGAAGGUCCCCCACAGUGGAACUGAGACACGGUCCAAACUCCUACGGGAGGCAGCAGUGAGGAAGAUUGGUCAAUGGGCGAGAGCCUGAACCAGCCAAGUAGCGUGCAGGAAGACGGCCCUAUGGGUUGUAAACUGCUUUUAUGCGGGGAUAAAGUGAGGGACGUGUCCCUCAUUGCAGGUACCGCAUGAAUAAGAACCGGCUAAUUCCGUG
rnacentral:rRNA from 1 species